ensembl:lncRNA
CGUGCUUGUUUCUGUAGUAAUAGAGGCAGCAGUCAUGUCUGAGCACGAACCACCUCUUUCUCCAGCCUUUCAGCAAACUGGAUUGAGUUCGCUUAUGCAAGUAACCCCUGCACGCUGGUCUUGGAGUGUUAGGAAUUCGACCAAUAUCCGAGCCAAUGGUCAGCGUUAAAAUGUCUGGGCCUUUAUUAUUCGAACCAGAAAUCAGAUAAAACAAACACAAAAUGAUUUCAUUAAGUCAUUAAGAAAAACUGGACAUGAAACAAAACAACAUUGAAACAUUGGAGUCUGUUGCCAUUCUACACUAAACAGUUUCAUGUGAAAUGUGCCAUCUCUGACUGCCUAAAUAAGGGUAAACGUGAGAAAUGCUGUAAUAAUGUUGUCUGAGUGUGCACCCUACCUAGUCGUGCGAGGUCAGCUGCUUCUGAGUGUGGCACACUAGUGACAUCAGUGCCGUUUACCGCCAGCACGUAGUCUCCAACCUGCAGCCCUGCCUCCUCCGCUGCUCCAUCUGAAACACAGCACACCAACAGCUUUAUCUGACUCCAUCUGAGAUCUCGACAUCUGAGGAAGAAGGCCCAUGUACAGCACACUCUUUGCUACUACAAUUCAAAGUGUUUCAACCAAAAAUAAUCAGCAGUGGGACUUCUGUGCAAGUUUAACGCAAAAGAGAAUGUUGUUGGCUGGUUUUAUGGCUGCGAAGAAGACCAACACAGAACUGAUUUACACUGCACAUGUGUGCAAAAACACAUUGGAUUCAUAGCCUUUCUAAAAUAGUGACUUGUGUGUAUAAAUUAAUAAGGCCAAACCUACUGAUGCCGGCAAUAUUUUUCUUCCAACAUACUGAAUUAUAUAAAGGAAUGAUUACAGUAUGAAUGAUAAAAGUAACCUUGAACCUAUCUGUUUAGAAAUCAAUCCACAACUGUGUUUAAUUUGAUUACAGAAGGCAGGAUAAUAAAGCUGUUCCGACUUGAUCUCAAGAGAAAACAAUUAUUAUACAAAAUGGCAAUUUAGUAUGAAUUUGUGUGAUUUGUAAGAAAAUUACUAUUUGUAUAAAAAAGCACAAAUGAAGCUCUACCCCUAAACCUAACCCUCAGUGGAGAAGGAAGUGCUCAAAGUGAUUCGGGCCAAACUCAGCACCUUCAAAGACCUACGCACUGUAACUGACGUGACUCUGUGUACUACUAAGGUGACUGUACUAAGACUCUGUGCAGGCAAUCAGCAAGGCCAUGGCCAACUUGGUUAACCCUGCUGUAGAUGGUUUUGCUGAGCAGUUUACAGCAGCACAGAAGUCAUCGCAGGUAAUGUUGCGGCGUCUGUUUCAAGUUGCCAGAAGGCUCGAUCCUCUCAGCAGCCUGCCAAGCUGGUGCACCUCAGCCUCAGCCUAAGUCUGAGCCUGGGCUUCAGCAGCACCCCUGGACGGUGAAACACAACCCGCUUCCUAUAGGCAUCAAAGGUCCCUGCCUCAGAGUAAUGUUGGACCCUGUGCUUCAGAAGCUGUCCUGAUCUAAACGCAGAGAGGAAGAGGAGAGAGUCAGUUCUCGCCAAGGCCAGAACUCUCUCAAAGAAGUCUCGUGCUCGCUCUCCAUCCCCGCCCCCAUGCGGCCAACUGCCACUAGAAAAACUCAGACCACUUGCCAUCCAGCUUCAGGCUUGGAAAGCUAUCCCGGUUUUGUUAAGUUGGGUUCUAAAAACUAUUGAAUGAGGUUACUCACUUCAGUUUGCUCUCAGGCCACCUCCCUUCAGAGGUAUCAUUCAAACUUCGGUACGGGACAAUGAUGCUCACAUUCUUCGGCCUGAAGUGCAGACACUGCUUGCAAAAGGAGCCAUGAAAAUGGUUACUGUAGUGAACAGCGAGUCAGGCUUUUACAACCAUUACUUUCUCGUUGCCAAGAAAGAUGGCAGGCUCAGGCCAAUUCUCGAUCUCAGGCAUCUGAACCGCUUGCUCAUGAGACGGCCGUUCAAGAUGCUGACUUUGAAACAAAUCCCCCACGGUCUGGUUUAUAUCAGAGGAUCUGAAAGAUGUUUACUUUCACAUCCCGAUAGACCCCAUUCACAGACCGUUCUUGAGAUUUGCGUUUGAGGGAGUGGCCUAUCAAUAUACAGUCUUACCAUUUGGAAUGUCUCUGGCCACACGCACUUUUACAAAGUGCAUGAACAUGACUCUUUUCCCUCUGAGGCAGAUGGGAAUCCACAUUUUGAAUUACCUUGACGAUUGUCUGGUUUUAGCUAGAUCAGAACAGGAACUCACAGGUCGCUGUAGCUAAGUCACCUGGGGCAGCUUGGGUUGAAAAUCAAUUUAGCAAAGAGCUGUUUGUCUCACAGCCAGCGAGUAGUCUUUCUGGAGACAGUUAUCGAUUCUGCCCAGAUUACGGACAUGGAUUACGAUGGAAAACUCCCUGACUGUUCAGCGACUAGCGGCGUCAUACAAACUGGGAAUUUCAUGUCCCCUCAGGGCUUUCCAGAGGAUGCUUUUCCUCAUGUCGGCUGCUUCCUCUGUGAUUCCUCUGGGCCUGCUUCACAUGCAGCCCCUCCAGUAUUGGCUCAAAGCUCUGCAUCAGAGCUGUGGCCCCUUGGAGGUCUCCUCACCUAUUUCAAUAGGGCAUCCCAUUGGGACCGACCUGCAGAAGGAAGGUGGUCACAACAGAUGCCUCCAACUCAGGGGAGCUCUGUACGAGGGAAGACCAGCGUUCAGCUCCUGAUCAAACCUGGAGCAAUGUUUUCACAUCACCAGCCUCGAGAUAAUGGUUUUAAGGGGGCACCACAUUUUAAGGGGGCACCAAAUCCUGGUCCGCUCAGACAACAUGAUGGUGGUAGCCUUCAGAAAUCACCAAGGCGGUCACACACUCCCUUUACAGGUUGUUGUUGUAGUUGUUGUGCUACAACAACAACAACCUGUGAAGGGAGUGUGUUGGCUUGGUCAGGUUGGCUUGACGCAUCCUUUUAUGGGCACAAUGCAAACUCCUCUCGCUGAGAGCAGUUCCCGUGCCGGGCAGAUUGAACCAAGGGGCAGAAUGGAGACUACAUCCCCAAAUGGUUCAAAUGAUCUGGUCUGUCUUCAGCAGGCCAAAGGAGGACCUCUUAACCUCAGAAGACAACUUUCACUGGCCAACAUAUUUUUUGAAACAGCGAGAAGCAUUGGCCCAUAUUUGGCCCAGCACUCCCCUGUUGUCUUUACAGCUCCAUGUGAUUGUAAUUAAUACCAUUUUUGAGACCAGAGCCCUGUCUACAAGAUGUCUCUAUACCCUAAAAUGGUCAGUCAAUUAUUGUAAUGGUUAUAGGGUGGUUGUUCUGCGUGCUUAAUAAACAAACUACAGCUGGUCCAAAAUGCAGCAGCUAGAGUUCUUACUAGAACCAGGAGGUAUGACCAUAUUAGCCCAAUUCUGUCAACACCACACUGGCUCCCUAUUGAACAAUGAAUACAUUUAAAAUCUUGCUAAUUACUUAUAAAGCCCUGAAUGGUUUAGCUUCUCAAUACUUGCGCGAGCUCAUAUCGCAUUAUAGUCCUUCACGUCCACUGCGAUCUCAAGACUCUGGUAAUUUGAUAAUACCUAGAAUAUUAAAAUCUGCACUCUUGCAGUUUAAAUAUAGAUUAAAGACCCAUUUCUUUAAGUGAAAGUGAAUAUAUAUAUAAUACAUACACUAUUACAAUUCUAUAAUCAUAUAUAAUAUAUAAUUAUAUAAUCAAAUCCGUUAAAGGAUUUUUAGGCUGCAUUAAUUAGGUCAACAGGAACCUGGAACACUUUCCAUAACACCCAAUGUACUUGCUACAUCGUUAGAAGAAUGGCAUCUACGCUAAUAUUAGUCUGUUUCUCUCUUAUUCCGAGGUCACCGUAGCCACCAGAUCCAGUCUGUAUCCAGAUCAGAUGGUGGAUCCUCUAUAGCCCUGAAUGUCAGCGGAGACCACGUCAAUUAGAUGAGCCAUAACUAUGGAUCCUCUGCGAAGACCUCGGCACCUCUACGACUAUUGGCACAAGACCACGAGAACCAGACGGGUCCUCUGCUUAAUCUGAUCUGUGUUGCAGCCUGGAAUUAAACCACACCAUGCUGGUUUCAACUGGCCAGUGGAGAACUGGCCCCCUGACUGAGCCUGGUAUCUCCCAAGGUUUUUUUUUUAUGCUCCAUUACUGUCACAGAUGAAGUUAUGGUUUCUUGCCACUGUCGCCUUUGGCUUGCUUAGUUGGGGAAACUUAAUUUCUGGCAACAAUGUUGGCUUGAUUUUGAAGAGAACUGAACUGUGCUGGAUGAUGACAUCACUGAAUCAACGAUGAACUGACAUUAACUGAAAAACUAACUGUUUUCUAUUGUCCUUUUGCAUUAUCAGCAGACUUUUUUUUUUUCUGUUUGACACUGUAAAUAUGCUUUGACAGAAUCCGUAUUGUAUAAAGCGCUAUACAAAUAAAGGUGACUUGGCUUGACUAUAAUCCACAGGACCUUAAGGCUCACCAAGAAUGAUAACUAUAAAAUAACUAAUAGCACCAACCUUUGAAGUUGCCAGAAGGGAGAAAACAUAUGGCUACUUGUGGAUGAAAUUAAAUAACGCAUUUUUAAUAUUUUUAAUAGAUAUCAAGUUAAACUGCUAACUUUUAGUAAAUAAGUAAUAUAUCAUAAUAUGUCAAACAAAGCUGCAAAAAAUGUCUUUGCUCACUGUCUUUGCAAAAUGUUACUGCUCCAGGUGUGUGUUCAUGGUGUGUUUACUUCUCACUGCUGUGUGUGUGCACUUGGAUGGGUUAAAUGCAGAGCACCAGUUCCGAGUAUGGGUUACCAUACUUGGCAAAUGUCAUGACUUUUACUUUCACUUUCACUAAAAACAUGAUAGUGAUUCCAGCGAUAUCAAUCUUUUGUGUCAUUAUUGUUAUAGUUGUGGUGUGGUAUUUUCUAUUCUCACAGACUUUUAACAAUUAUUUAAACUUUAGCUAUCAUCCUUGAUGUGAACAGGCCUUAUAGAAUGCCUUCAAGCUAUUCCUUUUUAUAAAAUCUAAUAAAAAAUACAUACACGUACAUUUACUGUUGUGCUUAUCAGAUCUGUAUUCUUGAUAACUUACUUGUGUCCACCUCAGUAACCACGAUGGGUUUGGAGAACUGAAUUCUGAAGCCCCAUGGAUACUCGCCCAUGCCUUUGCUGAUUUUCACCGUCCGCUCACGAACUGAAAUAUAUAAUGCAUCUUUAAACACAGUAAAUCAUAAAUAGCCAGUUCUAGCCUAUGAUCAUCUCAGAAUGCUGUGAACCUACUGGCUGCUGGUCGAGUACAGCUGGUGAGACAGUGUGGACUAUCAUUCUGGUUAACGUCAUCUCCAUGGUAUAUCCAUGAUACUGAGUGAAAGGUUUCUGUGUAAAAUCCUCUGUCCUCAAUAUCCCGCAUUGACAUGUCCACUGAACGAGUGUCCUCAGAGUUCAAUGUGUCU